rnacentral:rRNA from 1 species
GACGAUAGUGGCGAACGGGUUAGUAACGCGUAGGGAUUUACCUUGAAGUCUAGAAUAGCUUGGAGAAAUCCAAAUUAAUACUAGAUAGUCCCGUAAGGGUAAAAUUUCCAUCUUUGAUGGUUAUGCUUCAGGAGAAACCUGCGUCCUAUCAGCUUGUUGGUGAGGUAAUGGCUCACCAAGGCAAUGACGGGUAGGGGGAGUGAGAGCUUGACCCCCAACAAUGGGACUGAGACACGGCCCAUACACCUACGGGUGGCAGCAGCCAAGAACCUUCCACAAUGGGCGAAAGCCUGAUGGAGCGACGUCGCGUGAAUGAAGACGCUCUUCGGAGUGUAAAAUUCUUUUCUAGAGGAACAAUUUUGGCUUGCCAAAAUGAGCGUACUUUAGGAAUAAGGGGCGGCUAACUUCGUGCCAGAAGCCUCGGUAAUACGAAGGCCCCAAGCGUUAUCCGGAUUUAUUGGGCGUAAAGCGUGUGUAGGCGGUUUUACUAGUGAUUGGUCAAAUUCCGAAGCUUAACUUCGGAGCUGCUAGUCAAACGUUAAAACUAGAGCAAGUAAGAGGCUAAUGGAACUUACCAAGUAGGGGUGAAAUCCGUUGAUAUGGUAGGGAACACCAAAGGCGAAGGCAAUUAGCUGGUACUUAGCUGACGCUGAGACACGAAAGCGUGGGGAGAGAAGAGGAUUAGAUACCCUCGUAUUCCACGCCGUAAACGAUGUCAACUAGCCGUUUGGAGUAUCGACCCUCUGAGUGGCGAAGCUAACGCAUUAAGUUGACCGCCUGGGAAGUACGGCCGCAAGGCUAAAACUCAAAGGAAUAGACGGGGGCUCACACAAGCGGUGG